GCAUGCUGUGUCUGUUCCUCCCUCCAGUGACUCGCUGACAGCUCAAGCCAGAUUCCAGACCCCAAGGCCCCCGGCCCCGCCGCCUGACUUUUUUCCUGUGGUUCCCGUAAAUGAGAACUCAGGGAAUCCUCCUGAAAAGCAGCCGGGCUCAGCCAAUAAAUCCUCUGAUGCUGUGAGUGGUCUGAGCAGAGACACCGACCCUGACGAUGGAGACGUGACGGUUUCCUUGAGGGGCUGACUUGAAGGACGCGUUUUCCAGGGGAAGAGAAGAGGAAAUGGAAUUUGCAGAGGGAACGGAAUUUGCCAAGGUCCUGGGCGCUCGUGUGCCGGGAAGUCUCCAUGAGGCCAGCAAAAAUCCUCGGGGAAAGGCCCGCAGGCCCUGAGGGUUGGAAUCAGCCA